ensembl:lncRNA novel transcript
AUGUGACUUCUGCACCUCAUCUCUGGGAUGGUUUCAGUGGGUCCUAGAUUGCUUUCUGUGCUCCCUGGGACAGUUGGUGGCACUCUGUGAGACUACUCUGAGCAAGUGAAAAAGAUAGCACUUUUAAAAAACUUCCUUUCUUCUGUUGUAGUUGGAUUACAGAAGUGAUUUUUAAAGACACUAUUAAUAGAGGUAUUUUAUCUUGGUACAAAAUUAUUUAAAAAAUAGACUUAAACAGAGACUUCCACUUAUGGGUAUAAUAGACUAAGACCCUGUUGGAUGAUUUCUUCACCCUGCAUACAACAACUGUGAGACUGCACGUAAUCAUAUGAUAGUACUGGAGACUGAAGAGAAGAUGACAGGAUCUAAUGGGGGAGUCCAUGCUUGCUUGAAGGAGGAGAGAUAUGGAUCUGGACAAACCAGUCCUUUCCAUCAUGGGCUCCUGUGGAAAAUGACCCCAGCUCAGCUCAGUAGUUGAUGGGACAUCUGAUUCAGGUUGGACCCAGCCCAGACAUCUGAUUCAAACAAUAUUCUUCUCCAGGAAUUUUGUAACCAGCACUGGUAAAGGGAGGGAAGUGCUCCCCAGUGGGGAGAGCUGCAGAAUGUGAGACUUGGAAACCAAAGGCCGCCAUGUUUUCUGUCUCAUGAUGGAAUCCAAUCUUCUUUGGCGGGGAAAAUAAAUGAAGCCAACACCAGUAGGUAUAAGA